AGGGAGGAUAUGUGCGGUGUGAGAGAGUGAGGGCGACGGGGAGACUGGUUUUUAGUUGGAAUUGUGCACCCUGUUGGCGUUAAGGCUUUAAAAGCUUGUCAGACCGCUACAAUAUGUGACUCUAAAAUGAAGUUUUUUUUCUUUAAUACAUCGAAAAUACAUAAAGGUUUACAACACAGUUUCAAACAAGGACACACACAGUAAAACAGGUCGCUAACCGUUUUACCCUUUGAGGCCACCGUACUUCCCUGUCCAUAGCACCCUAUUUUAAUUUAAGUGCUAAAGUUUUCCACACAGACGGCUGAGGUGGCAAAUGUUUCAGUGUGCUGAGCUUCACCAGAGCUUCAUGCAUGUCCUGCACAUCAUGAAUCAGUUGUCCAGGAAUCCGAGCAUUCCACCCAGCUAUCACGGCAUGAGGAUCCAUGCGCAGCUUCAAAGAAAUGGGGCUGUGGAGCAUCUGACCCUUUGCAGUGGUUCACGCGGGCCUCGCCAAUCUGCCGCAGGAUGUUCUUGGCAUUGAUGAAGGACGUGCGGUCGCUGAUGUUGUAGACCACCACGAAACCAUCUGCCCACUCCAAUGGCUCCUUCAGGAUGCAACUGGCCUCCGAGUUCUGACAGGGAGAGCAAACGCAGUGUUUGACUAUUCUGACACGACUACACAAUUGUUGCUUUAUGUCAUUCCGAUGCCAGCCAGGAAGUAACACACCCAGGAAGAACACACCCACCCACAGUGUACUUUCUUCCUGAACACAUCCAUUACUGUCAUUACGCACUUACAGUAAUGACAAUCACAAUAUUUACCCUCUUCUUCUUUUUUACUUCUUCAUCUUUUUGUCUUUGUUCUCCUUCUUCUCCUUUCCUUCUUCUCCUCUUUCACCUUCUUUCACUCUUUCUUCAUACCCUACUUUUUUUCCUUUCUUCUUCCCUUCCUUUCCCUCUUUCUUCCACUUAUUGUUUUUAUUCUGUGUUCUUUAUCUCCUCCUUCUCCAUUGUUUUAUUUUUCUCUUCUCACCCCUCUUUCCUAAUCUAUCUCCAUCUUCUUCUCCUUUGUUUUCGUCUUCUCUUUCUUCUUUUUGUGCCUUCUUCUCUUCUUUUUCUACUUCUUCGUUUUCCACAUCUCUCUUCCUUGUUCUCCUUUUCCUUCUUCUUCUCCUUCUUGUAACUCUCUUCUUCUCAUUAUUUGUCUUGUCUCCUUUUGAAUGGUGAAUAGCAAACACUCAGUAUGGCAUUAUCGCCAACAUUUGGAUCAUCUGGCGUAUGCCCCCACCAUUGUACAAUUAUUACAGCUGAAUUUGUUGACUUUUUUCUGACUUGCGUGUAUCCCCUGAUGCAAAUGAAGCAUAAAUUACGCCGUCGUUUUUUUGUUUGGUAGUCAUGCUUCUUCUGUGUCUUCAAAGAGGCUGCUCCUUGCCUCGGGACACUCACGUGAAUAGUUUCAGAUUCCGGACUUGAUGCGGCUGGAGCAUAUGUGUCUGUGUGGAAUGAUGCGGUCCAUCCCAUGUCCACAGCCAGCAGGAUCUGCACUGAGGUUGGAAGCACUUUGGAACAUUUAGCUUUCCUCAUUGGAAAACUUCCUGGGUCUCGUCCACUUGGCAGGUUUUUGCCCACGUUGGUGGACUUUUCACUAAAUUAGCCCUUCUUGAGGCUUGGCGUCCAACUGCAGGACAAUCACUAGGGUGUAACCGUGCAAUAUUCUAUUUCAUGAUUACAAUGCAUCAAGCUGUUGCUGCUGUGUCUUUGCUGCAUGUGAGGAUGUACAAAGACAAUGACACGUUUCUUGGAUGUGUUGUACCUGUGAACAGGGGUCAAACACCUCCAGAUUUAGCUGUCUGCCAUCAAUGGACAGCCGCUUUCGAUACAGUGAACCUGUAGCAGCAAAAACAAAAUAUACAACCCAUAUUGUAAUAUGUAUCAUAAUUGGAAAGUUAACUGUUCCACUGUAGGUCUUUGAGCCCAUAAAAAGGCAUGUAAACAAUGCAAGAAACUCACUGGUGUUGGAGGCAUAUUCUCCGAUGAAGCGUCUGGUCAGGAAGCGAACGAGGACAGCUGGACAAAAUGGAAAAUGACAAAAUGAAGAAUGGCAUCAUUGCAGGUGCAGGCAGUGUGACCAGGCAGGUUUUGGUGUUUUGGUGUUGGGUGUGGGGGGGUGCUUCUGUGGGGAAUGAAUGUGCAGACGGUGCCAAAAGUCGUUGCAAGUCUGCGGGUGAAACUGAAGCCUCACAUGAAAGGCAGCAGGACCUUCCUGGAAGUGUUCCCGAAUGUUUUUUGGCAAGCCGAUGGAUUUUAUUUCCAGUUUACUUUUGGGCCAACUGCAGACAAUCAGUUUUUAUUAGCCACUCAAGUGCUGAAGUCUGCUCGUGACACAGGUCUUGCAUGGUCCUCUGUGGGGGCUUAGAUGGAGACACAUAUGGACACUUCUUUAGAUACACGAUUCUAAUGAGAGCCAAAAACAUGCUAGGUUAAUUGGCGACUCCAAA